UCACCCCUCAAGCCCCGUGCUUGGUGUUGGACGGCCGGUCGAGCGAUCGACCCCUCCGAAAGACAAUGACGGCGGCCUGUGGUUCCCCCGGUACACUGAGCUUUUCACCGAGCACGUAUCGGACAAGGGCACCCGGGACCCGGUCCUCUCCUUCUCGGUAAGGAAACUUCUCAA
rnacentral:misc_RNA from 1 species